rnacentral:rRNA from 1 species
UACAUGGGGUGCAAACGUUGCUCGGAAUCAUUGGGCGUAAAGCGCGUGUAGGCGGUCCGGUAAGUCCGCUGUGAAAGUCGAGGGCUCAACCCUCGAAUGCCGGUGGAUACUGUCGGGCUAGAGUGCGGAAGAGGCGAGUGGAAUUCCUGGUGUAGCGGUGAAAUGCGCAGAUAUCAGGAGGAACACCUAUUGCGAAGGCAGCUCGCUGGGACGUUACUGACGCUGAGACGCGAAAGCGUGGGGAGCAAACAGG